GGAAAUCUCAGUGCACAAACGCAUCUUAAUGCAGCACUCUCAACAGUAACAUAAGGUUUCAUCCUGAACUAAUACAGGUGGCAAACUGCUUUUAAGCGGGUUAAUGCCAGAUGAAUAUAAAUGGUAGCCAAGUAAAAGUACAAAAACAUUGCUCUCCUGAGUUCUGAGUUUACCCAAAGAACCUUGAGCCAUUAUUAAAUCAGCCUCUAGCACAAAAAUGAUGAAGGAUCUUUAGUUUUUGUCCUCCACUUUUCAAACAAAUGCUUUAGUCCUGCCUUAAAUGCCUAAUUCAAUGAAAGGUGUUAAGAGUAAACAGUAAUUAUUUUUCCUUUAUUUUUUAAUUGAAGGAAAGAUGCCCUUUUUCUUUCAUUGCAUUUUGACUUAACAAGAACAAGAGUAGGUUUAGUAACAUAGGGAAGAAAUCAUGCAAUGCUCUAUAGAAGGACCAUAACAUAGGGGUGGGUGUUUCUCUUAACUACAACAGACCAAAAUAUCUUUUAGGAUAUACUUCAUGGAUUUUUGUAAUUCUCCCAACUAAAAUUUAUUAGAAAGACAAAAACGGAAUGGGUUUUUCUCUUAACUACAAUAAAGCAGCCAACCAAGUUAUUAACUAAUGUUGGCACAUGGCAUCCAGUCCAUGGAAUUGCGGUUAUGGAUGAAUUAAUUCCAGCAAUAUCUGAAGACAAACUUUUUUAUUGGAUGAGGUGUAGAUGGGCAUGUGGAACCUUAUAAGAAAGGAUAUGAUGGGGUGCACAAAUCAAUAAUUUCUGUGAUAGGUAUGAAUAUAGAAACAUUAUUUUGAAUUUUGCUUAGGCUUAUAAUCUAAUCUUAGCAAAUACACAACUCUUUAAAAGGAACCAAAUUUGAAUUUUUUUAAACGAGAGCAAAAGAUUAGUCAAAUAGACUUCUUCCUUGUGAGAAGACCUACUAAGUUUUAUGAAAAUUCCGUAAAACUAGAUUAGUUUUUGGAUUUAAAUAUUAGAGUAGGCUACAAUCAAGGACCUAAAAAAGCAUGGUGGACAAUGCCA
rnacentral:misc_RNA from 1 species